UCAUCUGCAUCAUUGACCCACCGACAUUGCAAACGUGCCACCACCGUGACGCGCGUGACGCACUCGCCCGUUGUGACGCGCGUCGUGACGAUGGCCGGUAGCGAUGGUUCCCACCCCCACCACACACACACACACCCUCCGUACCGCGUGCGUGGCCCUGUGCAUGUUCUGUUGCGAUCGCUAGGGCUGAUUUAGGUGUAACCAAUCCGCGUCAACUCCGCCGCGUCUGAAGGUUCAACGUACGUGCGUUCCUACAUAUGCGCUCCCUCGUGCCGCAGGGAGUGCCGCUGCAGUGCGCACAUUGCACACGGAGGCGAGGCGACGCUAUCCUGCCACUGCGCGCUUCAACAUUGCUCCACCUUCACUGGCCCGCCUCUGCUAUCUUCGUUCCCGCGUCCACUCGCGUUACCCGGUUUGCCCGUUGCUUUCCACAUCGGCCCGAGUGCGUCUUGGCCAGCUGCUAGCGACGCUGCAAGCUUUCAGUCCGUGAUGUAUGAACUCUCGAGCCGCGUUAACGCCCCACCGACUAUGCAUAGCCUCGAAACCCAAAACGUAAAAAAAAAUUGCUCACGAUCUGCACAUUUUAAUUUCGGAAAAAGGGGCGGCCGUCUUUUCAUUUCCGUAGGAUUCCACUCUCUGCGAAUUUGAUGGCAUUCGGAUCCGUAGGCGUUGAACAAAAGUGCGCUCUGUUGCGCUCCCCGGCAUUCAUUUUUGCCACGCUCCCACAUUGACCUUUGACCCUCGCUCUCAAUGGCUGCAGGGCCUCCCUGAGCCAGCACCGCAUUAUGACAGCGGCACAUUAUCCCCAUGGUGUCAUCUUCCCUCAUGGUAUCUGCUUUCCUUAUGACCACAAGCUCCGUUUCACACCAUCGUCAUCUCCGACCACACGGCAUCUCCUGCAAGGACUCCAUCACGGACGGCUACUGGCGACGCUGGGGGCUCAUCCGCAUUAUGAAUGCAAGUCAAAAUAGCGAAGCUUUUAAAAACCGCCCUCGCCAAGACCGUCACCGGAGGACAACAGAAGGAAGCUAUGAACGGUGCGAAAGAAGUUCAACGCACACAGAUCGUUUGUUCACGAACAUGUUUCAAUGUUGGUGAUUUAGGUUGCGUCUGUUCACACAAUCAUGAUGUGACCCACUUCUGACCAAGUCACGUGCCAGUCUUUGUCAAAGCAUCCAUCCCAUCUGCACUGACGCUACACCCUCCCAUGGGCUAUCGUGUAUCUGUAUUAUUAUUACAAUUGUUGGUUCAUACUUCACGUUACAUGUAUGUAAUUUAUUUGUAUACUAUGCUAAUUAAGUUUACAUUCGUUUAUCAUUCGGAUAUUGUAGACAACAUUUAAGAGAAAAACUUUGACAUUUUUUUUGUAGGCAAAUAUGACUGGUUGCAAACAAUAUUUUUCCUAAUGGUGUAUGCGACGUUUAUUCUUUAUUAUUAUCUAAAUUCAGUACUGUCCUGUCAACUUUCAUGAAUGUGUUUUUAGUUUUUACUUUGUUCAUUAGUUUCUGUUUUUAUCCAGAAAAAGAGUGAUAAUAUGUAACCAAUAUAAUGUGUAAUUGUUUUAUCAUCACUUGUUCCCCAUUUUUCAUUUUCUUAAAAUAAAAAGUGAUUGUACUCUCUAUUUACAUAACAAUCAGCUUGUCAAUGUUUAUUGUUUCCUAACAUUUACCACCACCCCCCAAAAACAUAAGAGGAGUCAGCAGAUCGCAAGUCUCUCUGGCCAACAGCUUGUUCAUUUGGAAGUCACUUCAGUUCGAUAACAGCAAAAUCCCAUUGUAUCACAUCAUUACAGUGAGGGAAAAGGUAUUUGAUCCCCUGCUGAUUUUGUACGU